UACGGAGGUUUCAAGCGUUGUUCGGAUUCAUUGGGCGUAAAGGGCGCGUAGGCGGCGGGGCAAGUCGGGUGUGAAAUCUCAGAGCUCAACUCUGAAACUGCACUCGAUACUGCUUUGCUUGAGGACUGGAGAGGAGAUUGGAAUUCACGGUGUAGCAGUGAAAUGCGUAGAUAUCGUGAGGAAGACCAGUGGCGAAGGCGGAUCUCUGGACAGUUCCUGACGCUGAGGCGCGAAGGCCAGUGAGCAAACGGG
rnacentral:rRNA from 1 species